UGUCAAAAUAGCUGCUGUGAGAAACUAUAAUCUAUAAUCCAGUGGCCCUCCGUAAGAGCAGCAGCUGUGGUUGCCAGUUUCAGACAAAUUAAAAAUGCUGCAUCUUAGGCUGAUCAUCUCUCAAAAGCCUCUACAGUUAAGCAUCAGCUGCUUACUGUGAGCUGUGAGGGAAGUGCAGCAGGUGGGUCAUGGUGACAAACGGGUGGUUGAGGGUCUUCAUGGGCGUGAUGCGCUUGUCUGCGUCCAGCGUCAGCAUCUUCUUCAGCAGGUCUAUGAACUCCCGCCGGUCAGCCUUCUCUGCCAGGAUGUCCGUCCCCUCUAGGCUUGUCAUGUUCACCUGCAGCCGGACAAAAAGUCGAUGAUAUCAAACAGCUACAGGUAUGGGAGAUGGUGAGGCAGCCUGACCUGAUCGUACUCUGAGGCACCAGGAUAGAGCGGCCAUCCCAAGAACAGUUCAGCGAUGACACAUCCUAAAGACCACAUGUCGAUCGCUUCGCAGAAAGGAAGGCCCAGAAUGAUCUCUGGCGCUCUGCAAACACAUCAAAUUUGACUGAUGACAAGACUGCAGCAGUGAACUACAUGUGAACUGAGUGUUUUGAAUAGUGUUUUUAAUCGCACCCACCUGUAGUACCGUGACUGCAGAUAGGUGGAGCAAACGGCUUUGGACACGUGGCUGGCUGAGCCAAAAUCAAUGACUUUCACCCUGUACGGCUGCCUCAGAGGGUCCACCAGCAUAAUGUUUUCAGGCUUCAGGUCGGCAUGGAUCAAGCCCAAGCUUUUCAGCUUCAUCAGCGCCGUGGCUACCUGCUGCAGCACGGGCCGUAUGGACUUGAGCAGCAGGGGGCUGAACUUGCUGUGCUUCAGGAAGUCGUAAAGGUUCUGCUCCAGCAUCUCGAACACAAGGCACGUGUGGUUCUUAUGCUGGAAACACUCGUACGAACGGACAAAGUUGAAUUCAUCGGCGUUCUCUGUGCUAAGCCUGCUCAGAAUGCUCACCUGCAGGGGGGAGAGAGAAGAUGGCAGACAUAAGUGUGUCAUUAGAUCAGGCUUAGUCAUUCUUGAUGUGUAUGAUUUCACUAAUAAUGUAAAAAAAAAAAAAAAAAAAAACAACACUAACAAUUUUAAUCAAUGCAGCAGCUUCGUGUCUGCAUUUGUUAUAAG